CAGGCGGGUUCGCGUCGUCGCCGUGGGCGGCCAUGCUGGGCCACGGCAUGCAUGGCAUGAUGCAGCAUGAAUACACUCAUGCUCAUGCGCACGCAUCGAUGCCUAUGGAUCUCCAUGUUCCUCAACCGUUUCCUUAUUAUCGGUAUAGAGACGACGCUCUGUGUUGGUCUGAUAGAAAGCCGUCUGUCGAUGGAGUGGGCAACGCGGCGUCGGUCAACAGUCG